rnacentral:lncRNA from 1 species
CACUGUUCCAACAUCAGUUCAAAAGAAAAUUCCUAGUUAGAGAAGUGCCACAGAAAGUAAAGGGAAUUUUUGGUUAUUCAACUUUUAUUACUCCCCGACCUCUAAGUAAAGUAGUCAAGGAAAAUUAUUACCUGCACGGAUGCACCAGCUUGAAUAAUACAAAUCAACUCUUCGAGGUUUAUUACGCCGUGGAACGGAUGAGCAUGGUAUACCCUGCAUCACAUUACCAAUACAUCAAUGGUUGGGCAUGAACGCAUGAUAUGAGUAACCUGAUAAUCUGAUCAAUGCAAGUGGAACUAGCCUCAAAACUACUAGUUGCUAACAGGAUCACUAACAAUUUCUUUAGAAAACAUCUAGGAUUAGAGCAAUAUCCUACAAACCACUGUAUAUGAAACAAUGAAUGCUCAAAAACCAUGUCAAUAUAUUACUAAAUAACUAAGCUUCCACUGCAAUUUGGACCUAAACAUUUUUUCUCUCUUAGGCAUACAGCCAUUAUAUAUAGGCUCAAACAAGAACCCUGAGGGGAAACCAUCAACCGCAUUGACUGAUAGAAUAAAAAAAAAGUGAUUCAUUCAUACUAUAUCAACUAACUGAAAGUUGAUGCAGAAAAACAGCAAAAUUAUUUAUAUCGACUGAGUGAAGAGUGAUGGGUUAGGAAGGAGUAAAAAUAAGGCAGCAAAGAAGUAUACAGACAGUCAAGGAAAACAAUAGUGAGAUACCAUUUAUUAAGUGAAGGCAUAAGAACGGAUAUUCUAAAAUGCAACGAGACAAAAAUUUGGGUGAAAUAGAAGAUUGAAUAGAUAUGGAAUAACAGGGGAAAACUUAUUAUGAAAAUAUGAACACAGAAGCAUAGUAAAAGGAGAAAUACUGUUUAGCAGUGUACAUAAUUCUCUAAGAGUGAAAAAAAAGAAAGAAAACUUAAGAAUGCUCUUUCCGUUUCAAGAAUGAAUUGGACUAAACUAAAAACAUGUGUAGAAAUACGAAACACAGACAGGGUAUUAAUUUAAAGAUACGGUCUUCUGGCUUAUUUGUUUAUUUAACUUUUUGCCAAUGGCUUCUUUGUUGAGAUAACAGAGAGUGGAAGAACACAUCACACAAGAAAAUAUACCAGAACUGGUAUAUUUCUAAGUUCAACAAUGAUAUAUCGUUACUUCCCAGCUUCUCCUUGCUGUAACAGGCAGUUGCUAUUCAAUGGAGGUUUCCUCUUCCCUCCAUAGUUUGUUUUCAAAGGAAUAGUUAUGAAAAGGAAGAAUUGGAGACUUCUCUGUCAACAACUCAACAUUAACAUCAAAACAUCAAUGAUGUUAAAAGCUUGUCUAAGUGUACAUGGACAGGUGGCCUCAGGUCAGUAUCAUUAGAUACACAUAGCCAUCAUGAAAUAUCAGGAUUGAGAAACAAACACUGAACUUCUAAACCGUAUGUCUGUGCCUAUUCCAAACUGAGUUAGUUGAGGGGCAACAACAUUACUACAGUCCAUAUGAAGCAUAAGCUACAACCACUGAACUUCUGACUUCUGAGCCGUACAUGUCCAUCUGUGCCUAUUCCUAGCUGAGUUAGUUGGGGGCAACAACAUAAAUUGUCAACAUUACAGUCCAUAUGUAGCGUAUGCUAUAACCAACAGGCUAUGUAACAAAAUUCAACCAAGAAAGUAUAUAUUUUGAAUUAGGGAUCAAGCAUAAGUCCCAUUACCUCCUGGAAUCAAUCCCCAAAUAAGGAAGUAUUACAAAAGAACAUGCAGUAGUUUUUCAAGUCUAUUUUACCUUUGUGACACAAUAAUAGGCGCCCCCCAGUUUCCAUAUCCGGCGAGCAAUUAUGUACUCUCUGUCACUGCAGAAGAAGGGGAACUGCAACAACAAGAGCAAGAGAUCAAACCAAAAGCUGAUAGACAUGAAAUUAGUCAAUCAGAGAGACCGUAAAACAAAUCCCAUGACCCGUUUACCUUCCGGACCCAAUGUACUUUCAUCGUCCCAGUGGUCUGGCACUCCUCUAGUGUCUUAUGAUAAAUAAGCAUAUCAUCCCACUUGUUGGACAUACGGAACUCGUCGUCCCCGAAGAAGUCCCUCACUUCCUCCGGUGUAGCGUUCUCAAAGAUACUGCUACUCUGGUACUGUGGAGGCCCGGUCUAAAUUCAUCCAAAUAAAAUUCAAUCAUGACAUGAACACGAAAUUAAGCAAAAAGAAUAAGCACAGGACACUAAGGUUCUUGAAAAUCCGUUCACCUGCGUAUCCCUCCUCCACGCCUGGUAGGUCAUGGUGGGCAGCGAUUUCUCCAUCAUCUUGAUCCAGGCCGGGCCGCCGUCCCUGCCCUCCACCAGCCUCCAGAGGUUCACCAGGUCAUCCUUUCCCACCGCCAGCUCCUCGUUCGCCCCCUCCGACGACCUGCCAAGCACCACCAUUCCGUGAUUCCGUCAAAGGUGGCACGCCAAAUCACCACCAAAGAACCACAACCCCGCACCAAGAACCAUCCAUCCAGCGCAUUUCUGCGGAUAGCCUCCCAGCAUACACAGUUACGUACCCUUGCACGGCGUCCUCGUCCUCCUCCCUCUGCUGCACGGCGGCGCCGGCGUAGCCAAGCGGGGCGCGGAGACGGGCGGGGAGCUGGGCCUUCCAGAAGUCGAGCGUGGCGAAGGGCGGUUGCGCCAGCGCCUGCGCAGCAGCAGCGGCGCUGCCGCCGUCGGCGGUGGCGACGACGAGGCCGGCUGCCCAGCGCGGGCGCCAGGCCCAGCCGAGCAGGAGGCCGAGGAGGGCCGCCGCCCAGAGGGGCCCUGCGAGGAGCGCCAUCUCCCAGGCCGCCCCCCACGCCGUGGGCUGCUCCAGCACCCUCGCCACCGCCGACAGCACGUACCCCAUCGGAGCCGACCGGCCGGGAAGCGACGGCGUGGGGGGACGGACGCGGCGGUGCGUGUGGAGGUAGGGUGGGGGAGGGAGGAAGGAAUGGGGGGGCUUUGCGGCCUAUGGCGAGGAUUAAAGACUCGAUUUUUUUUGGAUUUUUUUGGUUUGUUUGGGGAAGGGGAAGGUGUGGUGCACGGGCAGGGAUGGAGGUCACUGAGGGGUGGACAUGGUGCAUGGACUACCUCACUCUUUGACCUCCUGUUUUUUCCCUAUUUAUCUGUUUUCCAAAUAUUUGUUUUUGUAUAGUCUUGGGACUUGAGAGUUUAAAUAGUCUCUCUCUAGUUUACUUGGACUUUGCAGCGUCGUAGGGAUGCUAGGUGAUAUGGUAAACAAAAGCUAAGGAGUUUGGUGGGCAUUUCUUUAUUGGUUAAGAUUUUUUAGCAUUUUUGUAAAAGGUGUGGGUUGCUUCUUUAGUGAUCUAACUCAGGUACUAUAUACUAUAGUGUGCUGUUGUUUGUGUGCUCACAACAUCAUCUCAUUAGCUGUUGGUUGUGAAGUCGCUUUCCUAAGAGUUUUAUGUUCCCAUGUUGUUCCUUAGGCCUUAUUUAGUUUCGGAAGAAAAAAAAUUCGCGACACUGUAGCACUUUCAUUUGUUUGCGGUAAUUAUUGUCUAACUAUGGACUAACUAGGCUCAAAAGAUUCAUCUCGUAAUUUUCGACUAAACUAUGCAAUUAGUUUUUAUUUUCGUCUAUAUUUAAUACUCCAUGCAUAUGUCUAAUAAUUCGAUGUGAUGGGGAAUCUUGAAAAAAUUUUGGAUUUUUAGGUGGAAGUAAACAAAGCCUUAAAGGUGCAAAAGGCACUGAGCUAGUAAUGUGCUAGGGCUCGGGCCUCUAGGCUCUAGGCUUGCCAAACUACACAAACGACCCUAUAUUGGGAUCAACAAAAUGAAGGCAUGUUAAAAAGUCACUAGUCCCUAGAAAUAUGCCAUUUUAAUUAGGAAUGCAAAAGGAACUCCCAAUCAAUGACGGAUUUAGAGAAAUAUACUAUGUGAGGCUCCUUGUACUUUUAUUUUCUACAUUUUGCUAGCUAGAUCUGCCAAUAGGUUACACAUUUAUUAGAUGCCAUGUAGGAUGUUUUUCUUAUGUGACAAAGAAAUAAUUAAGGGAGAGAAUGAAGCUCUUACACUAUUUUUGGAAUGAAGUCCAAUAAUUCAACAUUAUUUAAAUCCUUCGAGUCAACUUUCAUAGGCACAACAUAUGAAAUAAUUAAUUGAGUUUCAUACAUUGGAGACCGAGUUCCUUCCUACAAAUCUAAUACUUGUAAUGUGGUAGCUUUGGAUAUCGAAGUAUGGUGUCAAUAAUAUUGCGAUUAGCCUGACCCUUUCUCUAAACUCUAUUAAAUAUGAGCAUCGUACCCAAUAGUUAAUGCAGCAAACUUAUUGUACAACACCGAGAGUGUGUUGGGCCUUGUUUAGUUUCUAGGGUGAAAAGUUUCUAGAUACUGUACCACUUUCGUUUGUAUUUGAUAAUUAUUGUUUAAUCAUGGACUAACUAGACUCAAAAGAGUCGACUCACAAAUUAUAGCUAAAAUGUGUAAUUAAUUAUUAUUUUUAUUUAUAUUUAAUACUCUAUGUAUGUGAUGAAAAAUUCGAUAUGACAGGGAAUCUUAAAAAGUUUUUAACUUUUAGAAGGAAUAAACAAGGCCCAUGCAAGACUUCCUAUUUUGUUAUUUGAUGCGCGGUCAACUGUUCGCGGCUAAUUGACUAAACACCUCGUAGUGUAUGUACUGUUUCUCUCUUCCCCUUUCUCUCUCUCAUAUUGGGUAUAAAAUAGUUUAUGGGAGAGAAAAAAAAGAGAAAUAAUGUGAGAAAGGAAAGGAAAAGAAAAGACACUCUUUUCUAUUUUUUUUUUAUGAUGAAAGGGACACGCACAAGUCUCUUCGUUUGGCCAUGCGACGGAACGCCGACAGCCAUGUGUGCGCGCGCGCCUAUGGACCGGGCGCAUGCAGUGCGGCGACGUGUGGCUGGGGGUGCCCUGCCCCUGGCUGCGUCCCAAAGCGAUAAGGGGAUGCCGGAGCUGAGGCUGCUGCUGGCGCGCGUCGAUUCCGGUGGGGGCCCAAAUCUCCCCGCCGUCCAACGCCGCGCCGCCACGUCGGCUCUGCUUGGUGCCCUGCCCGCCCUGGUCGGGUUCGGCCGCUGGCCCCGGGACCCUCUCGCCGGCGGCGUCACAUCGGCACAUCGCCACCACAGAAAUCGGGUCGCCGUCGUGAGUGGCAGGCAGCCGUGGCUGGCGUUUGCGUGCUCUGUGGUGGGGCUGCAGCUGCAACUAGCUGUUGUCGUUCUUGUUUUCUCCAAGCCUCCCCUACAGUGCUACUACUACUAUUUUUCUCAGGUCUUGUUUAGUUCUUAAAAUUUUGGAUUUUUCUUAAAUUUGUUUUUAUUUGACAAGUAUUAUCUAAUCAUAGACUAACUAAAUUUAAAAAAAUUUCUAUAUUUAAUGCUCAAUACAUGUGCCGUAAAAUUCGAUGUGACGAAGGAUUUUAAUUUUUUUUGGAAACUAAACAAGACCUGAGUGUAAAAAAAACCUGCAAAUUUUCUUCCGUUGUGCCUACACCUAUAUUGUUGGUGUUGGUACUUCUCCAACACGUAGUACAAUUUCUCUUGCUGCACGAGUUGACACGUGGCGGGUAGUUAUCCAAGCACAUCUAGCGUGGUCAAUGGCCUUCCGUCCAGGGUUGGGCCUUGUUUAGUUCCAAAUUUUUUUGCAAAAUCGACACUGUAGCACUUUCGUUUGUAUUUGCCAAAAAUUAUUCAAUUAUGGACUAACUAGGCUCAAAAGAUUCGUCUCGUCAAUUUCGACCAAACUGUGCAAUUAGUUUUUAUUUUCAUCUAUAUUUAAUACUUCAUGCAUGCGUCUAAACAUUCGAUGUGACGGAAAAUCUGAAAAAUUUUGCAAAAUUUUUUGGGAACUAAACAAGGCCUUGGUUGAUAUGUCAAACAGGAUUUUACAGGCUAGAGAGCUUGACGGUUGACCCCGUUUCUUCUUUUGCGGUUCUGCACAUGAACGUACGCCUAGCUGUACCUGUCAGUAACAGCCCCUUUUGGAUAAUACGGUAAUAGUAGUUCCAAAAAUAUUUUACGAAAUGAGCACAGUAGCACAUUCGUUUGUAUGUAAUAAAUAUUAUUUAAUUUAACUAGGUUUAAAAGAUUCGUCUCGUAAAUUACAGAUAAACUGUGUAAUUAGUUUUGUUUUCAUGCAUGUGUUCAAAGAUCUGAUGUGACAGGAAAUUUUGAAAAAUUUUGAGUUUUAGUGAGGAACUAAACAAGGCCUAUGUACUACUAGUAGUUAACCAAGCACUAAACACUUCGGACAUUUUUUUCUUAGCCAAUCUUUAUUUAUUGAUACCUAUUAUUAUUCUCCCUCUAGCAAGUCGCAAAUGUAAGUUUUUUUUCAUAGUACGUAUAUCAAUAUCUAUGAAAGAUUGUCGAGAAGCACGACGUGCACUGAAAGAGUAAAACCUUUAGGUCUUGAAUAGAUCGAGAAAAAUAUAAAUGGAGGAUCUAAACUCAGGUGAACAGUUUUCAAUUCAUAGCACAAUCUUUGUUUCUCAUAUUCCAUCUUUUAGUAGCUUUGAGCCUUUGACAUUCAGCUAUAAAAUAAUAUGCGAAAUUGCAGAGCUAAAGUGACACAUUUGCAGAGCAUGUUGAUGUUCCAACGAAUUUUGGCCUUGUUUAGUUUCUAAAAGUUUUUAAAAUUUUCUAUCAUAUCGAAUCUUUGAACGUAUGCAUAGAGCAUUAACUAUAGAUAAAGAAAAUAACUAAUGGCACGGUUUGUCUGUAAUUUACAACACAAAUAUUUUGAGUUUAGUUAAUUCAUAAUUGAACAAUAAUUGUUAAAUACAAACAAAAAUAUUAUAGUAGUCAAAUCCAAAAAAAUUCACCAACUAAACAAGACUUUAUCUUUAUAGAAAGUAGAUACUCGAAUGUUAUCUCAGCUGCAGUGCUUAGCUUUGCUUCCCCACCGCUCGAGAUGGAUUCGCAUACUGCAAGUGCAACCCAUUGGAAGGCCGCGGCCUCUUCCUUUGCCAAAGGACAAGUACGUGAGUGUAGUGGCUCUACUUCCGCCCCUCGAACUCUUUUUUUUUUCUUAUUUUUAUUAGUCUUUUCCAACAGAUGGUAUAAAUGUCCAUUCAUGCAUAACGGCAGAAAAUCACAAUAUUUCCCCCCCUUUCGAAAAUUUCUAACAUUGUUAUUACGUAUAUUUAACAAGUGAGAUAGAGAGAGAGGAUACACUUGCUCAGAGUUGAGGAUGUAACAAUGCUAUUCUUUCUGUGAUAGAAAACAUAUCCCUUGACUGUGACACAUACUUUUAUGAUGAUUUUUGUCAAUCUCAAAAUCUCUCAACCUAGUCAUUCAAAAGUACUCUUAGGAGUAGGAAGGAUGUGUGCACGUGUUCAUAUAUGCGAAAAUGUGUGUGCAUAUAUGUGAGCGUUUUAUAUUUGUAUUGUGUUUUGAAAAAAAUGAAGUGGAGGACCUUAGGUAAGGUUCAAACAAAAAAAAUCAUAAAAACAUAGACUCUAUUGAUGAUUAGGGUAGUAGAAUUAGACCCUUUAACUAAAAUCGUAUGGUGAAAUCGUAGAUUUUAACAAGAGAGCUGCCUGUCAUAAUAAAGGUUGCAUACUUGCAUUUGUCGAGGGUUCUAAACGCAAGAAACAUCUUUAAUUAACAAAGCUUUUUUUCGCGAGACCGAGACUUUAAUUAACAAAGGCCUUGUUUAGUUCGCAAAAACUUUUCUUUUUGGUUACUGUAGCAUUUCGGUUUUAUUUGACAAACAUUGUCCAAUCACGGAGUAACUAGGCUCAAAAGAUUCAUCUCACAAAUUACAGAUAAAUUGUGCAGUUAGUUUUUAUUUUCGUCUAUAUUUAAUGCUCCAUACAUGCGACCAAAGAUUCGAUGUGACGGGGAAUCUUGAAAAUUUUUGCGAACUAAACAAGGCCAAAGCUCAUGGCUUCAUUAAUUAACUUUUGACAAGUUGCAGCUAUCCUUUUGCAAUAAAAACAAUUUUAUCAUUAUAUUGACAACAAGUUGGUGAGACGCCGAUCUACAUUUUAUCAUAUGGAUGGAUGCAUGUCUCAGGUCAAGGGACAGCUGCAAAUUAAAGCUUCGCUGGCUGGCUGCUGGCCGGCCCUACUAGCUACUUAAAACUCCUCAUCAGUGGAGCCGUGUGUUAAACGUUGCAUUGACAUGAAACUGACGAACCACACUAAAUAAGCUAUCAAGCUUUUGGACCACUACCGUCUCCACUAGCUAAUGCUUGCUUUUAUUUUCACCGAAAGUUAGCAUGUGAGAUAUGCCUCCAAUUCUAUGAUCGUACGCGUAGCAGGCUGUAGCUAGCUAGUCAACCAAAUUAAAGUGACAACGUGUUCAAAAAUGAUAAACCAUGUGCUUCACAUCACAGUUCACACUGACGUAAACACGUACGUAGAAUUGUUAACUUAUUUUCUAAACGAACACGCACACACAAUCACUUCUUUGGACAUUUUCAAGAUACUAAUUAAGCUAGGCACCUCACUGUCGAUCAGACGUAUGUUUUUUAAAAAAAAUACCUGAAAACACGAGCACAGUCAUCAUAGACUGAAUCUCAGUAGGCCGGCCCUACGAUACCUGCUACAACAAACCUCAACUUAUCAGUUCUCUAUCUCUCUCUAAAAAAGCUCUUUUACAGAAAUAAUAAUCGUUGCUCUAUACUCUUAUCCGACAUCGUUGAUGGCCAUGCAUCUCUUCUAACUAUCGUAUCUUUUUUUUCCGAAAGAAUGAAAAAAGUUUAUUUGCCGUAAUUUUUAUUAGACGAGAAAAAUAAAAUUCUAUUGUGGCACCAUCAUCCAACUACCAUACCUUCAUAUAUCGGGAACAAACCAACCACAAUACAACAUAUCUUUCCCCCGAAUACGCAAUUUCUUUGUUUCUUUGCAUUUUCCCCCUUUUGUUCAGGGAAACAUCAAUCAUUGAUUUGUUGGGAAACAACAAUUUCUUUGUAGUUAUUUUAUAUAUGCAUACAUAUCAGAGUUGAGUGAUGACAACUAUGCAUGCACUUUAAUUUCUUUUUUGAAAUGAAAGAAAUUAAAAUCACACACGUACAUGUAGUAUAUAAUAUAAUGCACACGUAGCUUUCAUUCAUAACCACUCAUGCAUCAUGAUUAUUAACUACACACAUAUGCGUACAAAUCUGAGGUAUCGUCGUCUUCUGCUUCCCAGAGAUGCUACUCCUGCAUACACAUCUGAAUAAAACUGAAAGCAUAUUAUAUACACCAGCCGAUCUUAUCCACUAUGGCGAUCUUGUACCAAUUGUUUUAUGCAUAGAGGUUGCAUGGGAUGUCGCUAACUAGCUAGCUAGCGCGGAUUAUUCAGAUUUGACUGAGUACUAUUAUAUUUGCAGUCCAUAUAUAACUGAUAAUUCGAUGCAACUAACGAGGAUAAUAUAAUUGGAACAACUUUACAAAAAAAAUUCACCAUCACCAAUUAAAGCAGUUCAACUCCCACUAUCUGCGAUCGUGGAUAUUUGUUAGCCUCACUAAGGGCUUGGUUUCCUUUACUAAAUUUUAGCUAGCGAAACUUUAAUCACUUUAGUAGCUAAAUUUUUAAAGAUUAAAAAGAGCUAAAAUAGUAUAGUCCCACUAGUCACCCAAUAGUAGCUAAAAUAAUUUUAACUGACUAAAAUUUAGUAAGGGGAACCAAACAGAGCCUAACAAAGCAGUCAAAGCUACACCCACUGAACUUUCUUUUUCCUUAUGAGUUUUAAUAAAUCACCUAACAUGAAACAUCAAGUACAAUGUACUCCUUUAAUUUGUACUAUAUAUUUCACAGAAAAAUAUGUACUUUGGGAAGAAAAUGCAUAGCCUUUUACGGGUGAGAAAUGCAGAGCUUAAUCAAGGGAAGCACAGGAACACACGUGUAAAGCCUAGGAAAAAGUCUAUUUUUCCUCUCCCAAUUUUUACGGAAGUCCACUUUUUCUCCCUCAACUUUGAAACCAGACAAUUCACCUCCCUCAACUUUUGAAACUGUGCAUUUUACCUCAUGAAGCGGUUUCAAAAGCAGUUUUGCUAUAGUGAUAGUGGUUUUGUCCUUUUCUUUUUAAAUUAUUCCAGCUGAAUCUUUAAAAAAUCAUAGUAAAUCACAAAAAAAUCAUAAAAUGAAAAAUCCAUUUUUUUGAACUCCACAUAAGUAGAUCUACAUAGUUAACAUAUAAUAUUGUAUACUUUAGUACAAAUUUUUUGCUAUAAAGGUUUUGUCCUUUUCUUUUUUUUAUUUAUUUGGCUGAAUCUUUGAAAAAUCAUAGUAAAUUACAUAAAAAUCUUUAUAGCAAAACCUUUAUACCAUAUUCCUGAUCUUGGAAUUCAGGGAGAAAAAUCGGCCGACUGCAAUAUUUGAGGGAGUUAAAUUAGAUUUUUACCAAUGAAAGGAAACCGUGGCUCACUCAACAACACACGGACGCCCAUUAUUUUCUCCGGCCUGGCCCGGCCCACAAAGCCCACCUCGUCAUCUCCCCUCAAACUGUCGGAUAAGCCGCGCCGGCGCCGCAGAAACAGAAGGCCGACGCCGUCGCCAUGGCGUCCCUUACCACCGCUCUCCUCCCCUGUGCCGGCGUGCCCCUCCUCCGCGCGCCAUCCGUGUUCCGCAUCACCGCAUCUUCCUCGGGCUCGGGGAGCAAGAAGCCCAAGUGCGGCAGCAAUGGCAAGGACACCAAGGCGCUGGAGCCUCUGGCGCCCGUGGUCCGCCGCGCGCCGGCUGGAAGCGCGUCCAUCUUCCAGCAGCAGCAAUCUCAUAUGGGAUACCCAUGUCCUCAUGGUGAAACAAGAGAACCUCACAGGCUGUCAACCCUCCGUUCCCUCUCUUGGAUUCCACUGUUCCAACAUCAGUUCAAAAGAAAAUUCCUAGUUAAAGAAGUGCCACAGAAAGUAAAGGGAAUUUUUGGUUAUUCAACUUUUAUUACUCCCCGACCUCUAAGUAAAGUAGUCAAGGAAAAUUAUUACCUGCACGGAGGCACCAGCUUGAAUAAUACAAAUCAACUCUUCGAGGUUUGUUACGCCGUGGAAUGGAUGAGCAUGGUAUACCCUGCAUCACAUUACCAAUACAUCAAUGGUUGGGCAUGAACGCAUGAUAUGAGUAACCUGAUAAUCUGAUCAAUGCAAGUGGAACUAGCCUCAAAACUACUAGUUGCUAACAGGAUCA